GACGAACGCUGGCGGCGUGCUUAACACAUGCAAGUCGAACGGAAAGGCCCUGCUUUUGUGGGGUGCUCGAGUGGCGAACGGGUGAGUAACACGUGAGUAACCUGCCCUUGACUUUGGGAUAACUUCAGGAAACUGGGGCUAAUACCGGAUAGGAGCUCCUGCUGCAUGGUGGGGGUUGGAAAGUUUCGGCGGUUGGGGAUGGACUCGCGGCUUAUCAGCUUGUUGGUGGGGUAGUGGCUUACCAAGGCUUUGACGGGUAGCCGGCCUGAGAGGGUGACCGGCCACAUUGGGACUGAGAUACGGCCCAGACUCCUACGGGAGGCAGCGGUGGGGAAUAUUGCACAAUGGGCGGAAGCCUGAUGCAGCAACGCCGCGUGCGGGAUGACGGCCUUCGGGUUGUAAACCGCUUUCGCCUGUGACGAAGCGUGAGUGACGGUAAUGGGCAAAGAAGCACCGGCUAACUACGUG
rnacentral:rRNA from 1 species